UUUUUUUUUAAAUUCAAUAUACUGAUACGGACAAAGCAAUACGGAAAUAAAGGUAAACAAAAUAAGAAAUUAACACGGAAAAUGCCGGGCGUGGAGCGGCUAGUAAUAUAAAAUGUCUACGAAAUAUUGUUAGAGCUUAAUUGAACGAGACGAAUUCAUUUUUCGAUGUACUUCAGGAGAAGGGAACAAGAAAAGUCCACAUCACUAUUUCCUUUGUACCUACAGGCUACAAUAGACUUGCAUUAUUUUGUACCACGUUAUCGAGCGUUAAUUAUCGUUUUAUUCGAAAUUAUGAACAAGUCGUUUUUGAGAGAAA